GAAAACCCCUGGGCAUGGCCGAACCUCUGAAUAAUCGAGAACAACAUCUAACAAGUCACAGCAGAUGAUGUCCCAACACGACUGGUAAAAUCUACUACAGAACCCAUCCGGACCAAGAGCACUAUCAGGAUCAAUAGAAAAUAUCACCCUUCUAACCUCAUCCAUAUUCGACUCUCUGCAUAACCCUACAUCAUCCUCUGCAGACACAAGAGAUGGAAUAAAGUCAAAAUCCGUCUGCUAGAACUGGCUGGCACCUCCCACCAAUAAUUC
rnacentral:lncRNA from 1 species